rnacentral:rRNA from 1 species
GUCCACGCCGUAAACGAUGGAUACUAGCUGUUGGGUGCAAACUCAGUGGCUAAGCGAAAGUGAUAAGUAUCCCACCUGGGGAGUACGUUCGCAAGAAUGAAACUCAAAGGAAUUGACGGGGCCCGCACAAGCGGUGGAGCAUGUGGUUUAAUUCGAUGAUACGCGAGGAACCUUACCAAGGCUUAAAUGUAGAUUGACCGGUUUGGAAACAGACUUUUCGCAAGACAAUUUACAAGGUGCUGCAUGGUUGUCGU